rnacentral:rRNA from 1 species
UACGUAGGGUGCGAGCGUUAAUCGGAAUUAUUGGGCGUAAAGAGCUCGUAGGCGGCCUGUUGCGUCCGCUGUGAAAGCCCGGGGCUUAACCCCGGGUCUGCAGUGGAUACGGGCAGGCUAGAGGUAGGUAGGGGAGAAUGGAAUUCCCGGUGUAGCGGUGAAAUGCGCAGAUAUCGGGAGGAACACCGGUGGCGAAGGCGGUUCUCUGGGCCUUACCUGACGCUGAGGAGCGAAAGCGUGGGGAGCGAACAGG